CUGUUGCCAGUUACAUGUGUCUGGCGAGACUGCCGGUAUCAAGCCGGAGGAAGGUGGGGAUGACGUCAAGUCAGCAUGACCCUUAUAUCUGGGGCUACACACACGCUACAAUGGUCGGUACAAUGCGUUGCCAAGCCGCGAGCGGAGCUAAUCGCGCAAAACCGGCCUCAGUUCGGAUAGGAGGCUGCAACCCGACUCCUUGAAGUCGGAGUUGCUAGUAAACGCCGGUCAGCUAUACGGCGUUGAAUACGGUUCCGGGGCUU
rnacentral:rRNA from 1 species